UACAGAGGUCUCAAGCGUUGUUCGGAUUCAUUGGGCGUAAAGGGUGCGUAGGUGGCGAGGCAAGUCAGAUGUGAAAUCCCCGGGCUCAACCUGGGAACUGCAUCCGAUACUGGAUGGCUUGAAUCCGGGAGAGGGAUGCAGAAUUCCAGGUGUAGCGGUGAAAUGCGUAGAUAUCUGGAGGAAUACCGGUGGCGAAGGCGGCAUCCUGGACCGGCAUUGACGCUGAGGAGCGAAAGCUAGGGGAGCAAACGGG
rnacentral:rRNA from 1 species